AAACGGUUUAAUUUUUCUUCCGAAUAAAUCCAUAUUGUCCCGGGUCCUUCUCCUCAUGAUAUUCUUAUUUCCUCAGGAUUUCCGUUCAGCAUUGCUGUAUUCACUGUUUCGUUUUCUCCUUGUACUCCUUCGUCCCUUUACGAAAUUUGUCAGUGGUGCUAGUCCCAUCGUUUUGUACACAUUCUGGCGAGCGGUGUCUUCGCUCCAGGCGCAAUACCCGAGAGGGUGCG